CACGUAGGGUCCGAGCGUUGUCCGGAAUUACUGGGCGUAAAGCGCGCGCAGGCGGUCCAUUCAGUCGCUGGUGAAAGCCCCACGCUCAACGUGGGAAGGUCCGGCGAGACGGGUGGACUGGAGGCAGGGAGAGGUCGGUGGAAUUCCGGGUGUAGUGGUGAAAUGCGUAGAGAUCCGGAGGAACACCAGUGGCGAAGGCGGGUCUCUGGACAGUUCCUGACACUGAGGCACGAAGGCCAGGGGAGCAAACGGG
rnacentral:rRNA from 1 species